rnacentral:rRNA from 1 species
UGGGAAUAUUGCGCAAUGGGCGAAAGCCUGACGCAGCGACGCCGCGUGAGGGAUGAAGGUCUUCGGAUCGUAAACCUCUGUCAGCAGGGAAGAACGGUCACUGUGCUAAUCAGCAGUGAAUUGACGGUACCUGCAAAGGAAGCACCGGCUAACUCCGUCGCC